rnacentral:rRNA from 1 species
UUCGACAGCCAUAUCACCCUGCAGCCCAAGACCGGUUACUCACUGAAGCUAAGCAGGGCUGAGCCUGGUUAGUACCUGGAUGGGAGACCACUAGGGAACACUAGGUUGCUGUUGGAA